rnacentral:rRNA from 1 species
CCUACGGGAGGCAGCAGUGAGGAAUAUUGGACAAUGGGCGCAAGCCUGAUCCAGCCAUGCCGCGUGCAGGAUGACGGUCCUAUGGAUUGUAAACUGCUUUUAUACAGGAAGAAACACCUCUACGUGUAGAGACUUGACGGUACUGUAAGAAUAAGGAUCGGCUAACUCCGUGCCAGCAGCCGCGGUAA